UACGGGGGGGAGCAAGCGUUGUUCGGAUUUACUGGGCGUAAAGGGCGCGUAGGCGGUCGUGACAAGUCACUUGUGAAAUCUCCGGGCUUAACUCGGAACGGUCAAGUGAUACUGUCGGACUAGAGUACAGAAGGGGCAACUGGAAUUCUCGGUGUAGCGGUGAAAUGCGUAGAUAUCGAGAGGAACACCUGCGGCGAAGGCGGGUUGCUGGGCUGAUACUG
rnacentral:rRNA from 1 species